rnacentral:miRNA from 1 species
CUAGAACGGCAAGCAAUUUGA